UGGGGAAUCUUGCACAAUGGGCGAAAGCCUGAUGCAGCAACGCCGCGUGGGUGAAGAAGGUUCUUGGAUUGUAAAGCCCUUUCGGCUAGGAAGAAGGGUCUAUGUGCUAAUACCACGUAGAUUUGACGGUACUAGAAGAAGAAGCACCGGCUAACUCCGUGCCAGCAGCCGCGGUAAUACGGAGGGUGCGAGCGUUGUUCGGAUUGAUUGGGCGUAAAGCGCAUGUAGGCGGGUUUGUAAGUCGGAUGUGAAAGCCCUGGGCUUAACCUGGGAACUGCAUCUGAAACUGCAUAUCUUGAAUGCUCGAGGGGUUGGUGGAAUUCCUGGUGUAGGAGUGAAAUCCGUAGAUAUCAGGAGGAACACCGGAGGCGAAGGCGGCCAACUGGCGAUGCAUUGACGC
rnacentral:rRNA from 1 species